UAGGCUCCGGUAGAUUGCAAAUGACCUGCUUUCUUUCUGUUCCCGGGCUGCGUUCGGACCCCUGUCGGAUAGUAACUCCCAAGUAAGGUACCUGCCGUCGGCAGAUUGGAGCUUUCUUCUUGGAGACCUAAUACCCACAGUCCUCCAGGUUCCGGUAGAUUGCAAAUGACCUGCUUUCUUUCUGUUCCCGGGCUGCGUUCGGACCCCUGUCGGAGAGUAAAUCCGAAAAAAACAAACAAAGACAUGGAUUUACUGUGCAUAUUAGCAGAUCCAUACUGGAAAAUGCAUGGAGGUUUCAUAUACACCACUUACAUUAUACCCCAAUCUGAGGUAUAAACUUGCUUUUUGUGGGAUCACAACUGCUGUAAAUUAGACAGUUGUAGCAACAAUCCAAGACAAUAACAGAAUGCCUAUGACAGUCUGCCAUAUUCUGGUGAGUGUCUAUCAAAGCUCAUCAUGAUUUUUUGUGAGAUCUUCCCCGUAAUUGGUAGCUUGGCUUCCAACAAACAUGUUCCAGUUCUCCAAUAUUUCCUCUUUAGUUAGCUUCUCAUCCUUGUUUUUGUCUGACUCAUAUACCAGAUGCCUGGCCUCAGCCUGUGCAUGAUCAUAAUCUUGAGGGAGGAUCCAGUGGCGUCGUUAAACUGCUCCCGUUCUGAUAAAACCCAGUCUGGCUCAGGGCCAUUCUCCUCAUGGGAAAACAUAUCCGCAAUAUACUCAUCCUGAUCCACAAACCCAUCCCCGUUCUUGUCGAUGUCCUCCAGGGUUUCCAAAGCCACAAUUUCCUUCAUAUGUUCAAACUCUUCAGGAUGCAGAAAGGCAGUGAACUCCUCCGGAGUAGCUGUCAGGUCACCAUUGAGGUCUGCAGCUUUGAAUCUUCUCUCAUCACGUGGCAGCAUCUUUUUAAAGGUGUGAUGAUCUGAAGAAUCAUGAAACUCUGCGGGGUUUCCUAGGUUUUCAGCUCCUCAGUAGUGACAAAGCCAUACCCAUCAUUGUCGAUUCGAUCAACAAUCUUCCCUAGCCUCUCCUUGCUCUCGUCCGGGGUGAGCUCGUCGAAGUUCUUGGAGUCCUCCUUGCCCAGGAAGGCCUCGUGGUCGUACUGGAAGCUCUGGUUGUCCUCAGGGGGCCGCUCG
rnacentral:lncRNA from 10 species